rnacentral:rRNA from 1 species
AACGAACGCUGGCGGCAUGCCUAACACAUGCAAGUCGAACGAUGCUUUCGGGCAUAGUGGCGCACGGGUGCGUAACGCGUGGGAAUCUGCCCUUGGGUUCGGAAUAACAGUGAGAAAUUGCUGCUAAUACCGGAUGAUGUCUUCGGACCAAAGAUUUAUCGCCCAGGGAUGAGCCCGCGUAGGAUUAGCUAGUUGGUGGGGUAAUGGCCUACCAAGGCGACGAUCCUUAGCUGGUCUGAGAGGAUGAUCAGCCACACUGGGACUGGGACACGGCCCAGACUCCUACGGGAGGCAGCAGUGGGGAAUAUUGGACAAUGGGCGCAAGCCUGAUCCAGCAAUGCCGCGUGAGUGAUGAAGGCCUUAGGGUUGUAAAGCUCUUUUACCCGGGAUGAUAAUGACAGUACCGGGAGAAUAAGCUCCGGCUAACUCCGU